CUGAAGUCAGGCCACGUAGUGCCACAGCUUGAGCAAACUGUGCUGCCUGUAGCUCCGCCUAACAAACGGGGGGCGUAAAAAACCCGGGGAGGCCGAGCGCCACGGAAGCUGUACGCGUGGUUUAACGGACUAGAGGUUAGAGGAGACCCCUCCCAUAUUCUCAAAUCGCAGCAACAGGGGGCCCGAAACCGGAAUGAAGCUGUAAUUCCGGUGGAAGGACUAGAGGUUAGAGGAGACCCCCCCAACACAAAAACAGCAUAUUGACGCUGGGAAAGACCAGAGAUCCUGCUGUCUCUACAGCAUCAAUCCAGGCACAGAGCGCCAGAAAAUGGAUUGGUGGUGUUGAUCCAACAGGUUCU
rnacentral:lncRNA from 1 species